UUUCCGUAGGUGAACCUGCGGAAGGAUCAUUCAUAAUAAGUGUUUUAUGGCACUUUUUAAAUCCAUAUCCACCUUGUGUGCAAUGUCAGGGUUGAUUUCUCUCGAGAGAUCAACCCCAAACAUCAACUAUAAUCUCAACUCUUUGUCUGAAAAAUAUUAUGAAUAAAACAAUUCAAAAUACAACUUUCAACAACGGAUCUCUUGGCUCUC
rnacentral:misc_RNA from 1 species